GACGAACGCUGGCGGCGUGCCUAAUACAUGCAAGUCGAGCGGACGGAUGGGAGCUUGCUCCCAGACCGUCAGCGGCGGACGGGUGAGUAACACGUGGGCAACCUGCCUGUAAGACUGGGAUAACUCCGGGAAACCGGGGCUAAUACCGGAUAACUCUUUCCCUCACAUGAGGGAAAGCUGAAAGAUGGCAUCUCGCUAUCACUUACAGAUGGGCCCGCGGCGCAUUAGCUAGUUGGUGAGGUAACGGCUCACCAAGGCGACGAUGCGUAGCCGACCUGAGAGGGUGAUCGGCCACACUGGGACUGAGACACGGCCCAGACUCCUACGGGAGGCAGCAGUAAGGAAUCUUCCGCAAUGGACGAAAGUCUGACGGAGCAACGCCGCGUGAGUGAUGAAGGUUUUCGGAUCGUAAAACUCUGUUGUCAGGGAAGAACAAGUACCGGAGUAACUGCCGGUACCUUGACGGUACCUGACCAGAAAGCCACGGCUAACUACGUG
rnacentral:rRNA from 1 species